CUCAGGAUGAACGCUGGCGGCGUGCUUAACACAUGCAAGUCGAACGAUGAUCCGGUGCUUGCGCCGGGGAUUAGUGGCGAACGGGUGAGUAACACGUGAGUAACCUGCCCUUAACUCUGGGAUAAGCCUGGGAAACUGGGUCUAAUACCGGAUAUGACUCCUCAUCGCAUGGUGGGGGGUGGAAAGCUUUUUGUGGUUUUGGAUGGACUCGCGGCCUAUCAGCUUGUUGGUGAGGUAAUGGCUUACCAAGGCGACGACGGGUAGCCGGCCUGAGAGGGUGACCGGCCACACUGGGACUGAGACACGGCCCAGACUCCUACGGGAGGCAGCAGUGGGGAAUAUUGCACAAUGGGCGAAAGCCUGAUGCAGCGACGCCGCGUGAGGGAUGACGGCCUUCGGGUUGUAAACCUCUUUCAGUAGGGAAGAAGCGAAAGUGACGGUACCUGCAGAAGAAGCGCCGGG
rnacentral:rRNA from 1 species